AUGGCCUUGGCGAGCAAUCCUCUUAAUUCCCUGAAGACAAGAGAGAGGGGGCGAGAGACAGAAAGGAGCCGGGCUGCUUGCAACCCUUGUCAGCCCUUUCUGUGCAGUCCAGCGGGGAUGUUGGGAGCCCCAGCGGGGAGUGCCGAGAUGUCCCGGCGACAAAAGUUCAAGUUCUUUUUUCAGUUCCAGCUGCAGCUGCCGAAUGCGGAUGUCCUUCUGGGCCAGCUCUUCUUUCAACCGCCGGAUCUCAUCCUGCUGCCGGAAGAACAUUCGGAGGAGCUGGGGUGGAGGAAGAGAGGGGCCAGGCGGCCGGGAGAGAGCAGUGGAAAAUGCCAAAUAUAUACUAGGGUGGAAAGAACCACACUAUGAGCCUCCAAGAACUCAUCAACUGGCUUCAAGAAAUAACACGUGACCAUUUUUGCUUCAUCUCUACUCCUACCCAAUUCACCUGUCCCGCUGCCUCCAGGGAUUAUUUUGAAGCAAAUCUCAUUUAUCCCAUGAUUCCACCCAACCCUAGGAAUCGGAACAUCCCCCUACAAUGGUACGAAACAUAUAGCAAUUGUCAGUCUGUCUUUCAAAUUUCCCUUCAAGACUGUGAGGUCCCAGAGGUCAGGAAUAGUCUUCGUUUGACAAAUAAUAGUGAUGAUCGUUAAGUUGGUGUGACAAGAAACCUCCAAGAUGGCCGCCGUGUUAUCCCCUCCCCUCAAGGGUGGACUGGGCCUAGUAACUUGCUUCAAAUGAAUAGAAAACGGCAGAAGUGAUGGUCUGUCAUUUUCAAAAAAACUAUGACUUCCAUCUUGGACACCUUCUCUUGCUCACUCCAAGGGAUACCAGCUGCCACACUGUGAGCUGCCCUGCGGAGAGGUCCAUACGGUAAGGACCUGAGGGAGGCCUCUGGCUGAUAGCCCACGAGGAACCGAAACCCUCUGUCCAACAACCUGUGAGCGAAUGCAUCCUUCCAGCAACCAUGCGAAUGAACUCAGAAGCAGCUCCUUUCACAGCUGAGCCUUCAGAUGUGACAGCAGCCCAGCUGACAGUUUAACCACACGGCCUCAUGACAGACCUUGAGCCAUGGGCAUCCAUUAUGAGAUACUAUGAGAUAAUAAAGGUUUGUGGGUUUAAGAAUUAAGUUUUGGGGUGAUGUUUGACACAGCAAUAGAUACCUGUACAGUUAGCCUCAUUGAGCACUGAAUAUGGGCCAGGAAGAGUGCUAGACUCUUAGAAAAUAUCUCUUUAAUGCUCACCGCAUUUCAUAUCCCCAUUUUACCACGAGAAAGGUCAGAAAACUUGCUCGGGCACAGCCAGGAAACGGCCGAGCCCGGAAUCAAAUGCAGUGGAGUCCAAGUAGUCAUCUCUACUCCAGUGGCAUCGAGCCACGUGCCUGGCACAGGGCAGCCAUCUGUGAACCCUGGCUGGGCUGAACUCAGUCCCUGGUAUUGACACCAGGGACUGGGGGUACCGUUGAAAGGAGAAGCCUUCGGGGGGCAUGGGUAAGACCCAGCUAUGGCUGUCCCUGGAUGACCUGCCCUCCUUCUAAAUGGUACAGAGAGUACUUUCAUAAACACAGCCUCUUCCCCGCCAAACAGGAAAUUGUCAGACCCCGUCGCUGCCGCGGUGCCAGGGAGGAAGGCCGCGCCGUAAUGCCUGAGGCCAGGCUUUCCUCUGUUAGCCAGGAAUUUAUAACUCCCGGAACAGCAAAUGACAGCGACGUUCCGAAACGGAUUCAUGAUCCACGGAACUGUGUGGGCUAGUGAAUGCGAGGGCUGGGGGUGGGGCAUCAAUAUCGCUCCCACAUCCCAGCCUCUAUUUACUGGGGUCAGAGGCAACGGAAGCCAAUAGCAGGCUACUUAUGGCAUUUGUCACAGAAAGAAAAAUGCCCCAGAUGGAGUCGGCUUAAAGGCCUGCAGCCCAUAAUUGAAAUGUAAAGGUCUCGCUCUUCUAGGACCUGUGGAGGUGAUAACUUACAUUCCUUACCUCGUUUUCUGUCCUGGGUGGGACAUUCUCUAAUAAAUCUAUUCCAUUGAC